rnacentral:tRNA from 4 species
GGGCCUGUAGCUCAGGUGGUUAGAGCGCACGCCUGAUAAGCGUGAGGUCGAUGGUUCAAGUCCAUCUAGGCCCACCA